CGCAUACUGGGUAAUUACAAUUAUCCUAACAGGUGCCCUAAUAGAAGCAAAGAAGGAGACACAGCAAGAAACAAGGAAGGGGACCUCGAAGCAGGGAAUACUCUAGGCACAGGGCUGCAGGAAGGACAGCAUGGUACAGGGCCAGGUUGCUCCUGGGAUCCGGCCUCCGGAUGUUCAACUGCGGCAGGCACGGGUUCCAGCCCUUGCUCGGGCUGGCCAGCAAGAGCCAGGCCGGAGGGGCGGAAGCUGCCCCCGGAGCAUCGCAUUGGACUGGGCAGGGUCCCCGUAUGACAGCCUCCACCCAGAAGAGUGUCCUCCUCUCCAGGCUGAAGUCGUGCUGCGGAGACAAGACCAGGGGAGGCUCUACCAGGCAAACCAGGGUCUGAGAGCACACUCCUACCUCCUGCCCCCCAGGGAACCUGUUCAGCCAGACUCUCCAGGCCUAGACAGCUUCUGAUUCUAAGCCCCAGCUAUUCAUCGCAGGCCACCCUCACCCUCGGUUUUAGCUAGCAUUGGAGUGGAUGGCUGUCAAUAACAAUUUAAUAGCAAACUCUGUAGACAGGACAACGUGAGGAAUAGGUUAAUAGAAUGAAAGUCUAAGUCCCUUUGCCACUCAGCAUAUAAUUGAACAACAGUGGCCUAAACAAUUUCUCCAGGGGACUUCUCUGGCGGUCGAGAUUGAGAAUCUGCCUUCCAAUGCAGGGGAUGAGGGUUAGAUCCCUGGUGGGAGAAGUAGGAUCCCACGUGCCAGUGGGGGCAACUCAGCCUCUUCACCACAACUCGAGAAGCCAGGGCACCCACAACUACUGAGCCCACAGACUGCAGAGCCUGCACCACUAGAGAGCCCAUGCAUGCAGCAAACAGAGAGCCCACACACGACCCAACAAAGACCCAGUGCUGCCAAAAAAAAAUUUUUUUUUAAUUUCAACAAAACUUUUCCUUCACCAAGAAGCUUUCACUUGAGUUCAGCACCAUUUGCCACUGAGCAGCUGGCCUUGGAGGCUGGCCCAGACACACAAACCUUUGCGUGAAGUAGUACUUGCCCCAUCCCAUGUGCUGCCUUCCAGCUUACUUGGGGGCCCAGGAAAUGGAAAAAUCUUCUUUUUUUUUUUUCCUGAACUCUACUUAGUUGGUCCUAAUGUUAUUCCCAAUUCCAGAUUAUCAAAAGGAGGCUCAGGAAAUUUAGUUUGCUCGAGGUCAGAUCAGUGGUGAGUAAAUGAGCUGGGAUUCCUGUCCAUCUGACUGAUCAAGCCACCUAAAAACUAAAUGUGGAGCCUACAUAAAUAAUUUAAAUUAAGUGUUUAUGUGAAGCAAAAAUAAAAUAUUCCCGUUAACUACUAUUAAAAUUAAGAACUGGAAAUAUAAAACUCCAUUAAAAAAUAUAAAUAUUCUUAAAAGGCAACUUCAGUGCUCUGUGAUGGCCAGGUAAGCCUGGGGGAGUGGGGGGGGGGCGGAUGUGGGAGGCAGAAAGGCAGACAGGAACUGCCUCUCCCCUCACCCAACUCCUGACAUGACCCUAAGUUGGGGAGAGGAACAGAACUUAGCUGUUCUAAGUGUGGUUCCCCGACUGAGGUCAGGGAGUGUAUCUUAUUUCUCUCUGUUCUUGGGGCCCAGGGCAGUUCUGGUUCCAAGGGGAUAUUUGUAAG
ensembl:lncRNA